ensembl:piRNA 21ur-77 ncRNA
UGACAUCCUAGCAAAAUGUUC